AUGAACGCUAGCUACAGGCUUAACACAUGCAAGUCGAGGGGCAGCAUUUUAGUUUGCUUGCAAACUAAAGAUGGCGACCGGCGCACGGGUGAGUAACACGUAUCCAACCUGCCGAUAACUCGGGGAUAGCCUUUCGAAAGAAAGAUUAAUAUCCGAUGGUAUAUUAAAACCGCAUGGUUUUACUAUUAAAGAAUUUCGGUUAUCGAUGGGGAUGCGUUCCAUUAGUUUGUUGGCGGGGUAACGGCCCACCAAGACUACGAUGGAUAGGGGUUCUGAGAGGAAGGUCCCCCACAUUGGAACUGAGACACGGUCCAAACUCCUACGGGAGGCAGCAGUGAGGAAUAUUGGUCAAUGGACGAGAGUCUGAACCAGCCAAGUAGCGUGAAGGAUGACUGCCCUAUGGGUUGUAAACUUCUUUUAUAUGGGAAUAAAGUAUUCCACGUGUGGGAUUUUGUAUGUACCAUAUGAAUAAGGAUCGGCUAACUCCGUGCCAGCAGCCGCGGUAAUACGGAGGAUCCGAGCGUUAUCCGGAUUUAUUGGGUUUAAAGGGAGCGUAGGUGGAUUGUUAAGUCAGUUGUGAAAGUUUGCGGCUCAACCGUAAAAUUGCAGUUGAAACUGGCAGUCUUGAGUACAGUAGAGGUGGGCGGAAUUCGUGGUGUAGCGGUGAAAUGCUUAGAUAUCACGAAGAACUCCGAUUGCGAAGGCAGCUCACUAGACUGCAACUGACACUGAUGCUCGAAAGUGUGGGUAUCAAACAGGAUUAGAUACCCUGGUAGUCCACACAGUAAACGAUGAAUACUCGCUGUUUGCGAUAUACAGUAAGCGGCCAAGCGAAAGCAUUAAGUAUUCCACCUGGGGAGUACGCCGGCAACGGUGAAACUCAAAGGAAUUGACGGGGGCCCGCACAAGCGGUGGAGUAUGUGGUUUAAUUCGAAGCAACGCGAAGAACCUUACCAGGGCUUGACAUCCCUUGCAGAGGUAUAGAGAUAUAUCCGAGGUUAUCAAGGAGACAGGUGGUGCAUGGUUGUCGUCAGCUCGUGUCGUGAGAUGUUGGGUUAAGUCCCGCAACGAGCGCAACCCCUGUACUUAGUUGCCAGCAUGUAGAGAUGGGAACUCUAAGUAGACUGCCGCGAAUAACGCGGAGGAAGGUGGGGAUGACGUCAAAUCAGCACGGCCCUUACGUCCGGGGCUACACACGUGUUACAAUGGGGGGUACAGAAGGCAGCUACCUGGUGACAGGAUGCUAAUCCCAAAAACCUCUCUCAGUUCGGAUCGAAGUCUGCAACCCGACUUCGUGAAGCUGGAUUCGCUAGUAAUCGCGCAUCAGCCAUGGCGCGGUGAAUACGUUCCCGGGCCUUGUACACACCGCCCGUCACACCAUGGGAGUCAGUAACACCCGAAGCCGGUGACCUAACCGAAAGGAAGGAGCCGUCGAAGGUGGGACCGAUAACUGGGGUG
rnacentral:rRNA from 1 species